UGAUGACCUUAUGUCCAGGAGCUAUGGCAAUCAUCAUUUACUGGUGACUGUGACAGCAAAGGUUGAACAGAGCUUGAUUUAAAAGCAGCCAGAUUUCCCUCCGAAGUUAAAAUCGGCCAAGACUCACCCAAGUUGGCACUGAGGAGCAUGUGCAGACACCGCGAAGGCCUUUCGUGACCCAGAUACAUGAACUGGCUAUACGUCACAGAUCCCUGGGGUCUAGAGGAGCAAGAUGUUGUCGUGAGUCAUGUGAAAAACAGCGUAAUGUGAGUUUAGCUCUGCUCUCUGUUGCUGGCUUACAGUUCCCCUUCCUGUAAUCUGGUUCUGCUGCAUGCUGUAACACGUUGGCACUAAACAGUCCUCAGUGGGAGCUCAUGUUAACACCUCUGAGUUUAUGGAAAAAAAUAAGUGCCAUCUCUUCAUGGCCUCCGUUUUUUUAAUCUCCAACCUUUAUGGUUUCUGAUGAUAAAUCUAUAGGAGAUAAAAAAAAAACAAAAACGUAUACUUUGUUGUGGGAUUGUGACAUAUGCAAGCUUGAAAUUUUGUUAAUUCUGUCUUUCUUGUUAAAUGAACAUCAAGUAAACGCUAACUUAAAAACAGAUCACUCUCUGAUCAUGGUGCUGCCCUGGAUUUGAUGUUUGGCUAGUGAAAGCUGAGAGAAAGCAAGUAAUCUGACGUGAGUUGAAAUUAGCAGAGCCUCAUUUCCAACUGCAGCAGGCUGUCUCAGGCUGGAAGUCUGUGCCCCCAGCGAAUUCUGUCAACCUUGAAGUGGGGGUAGUUACCGGCAACUCUGGUAACUGAAUUAAUUAAGAGUCUGUGGGAGUGAGCAGUGGCGAGGGUCCUCAGCAGCCGCCUGGAUGACAAGUUAGCCCACUCUGUUAGGUUUGAGUAAUCAAGUCUCCCAGUGAGAUCAGAGGCAGAGAAAUUCUGCAACUUUCAAGAGGCUGAAGAAAAAGCUGCAGUGAUAUUCUGCCAAACUAACCUGACUCUAUGAUUCAUCCAGACAUACAGGUUGCACAGAGGACUUACUCAUUCCUGAAUAUGCUCAGGCUGUGUGUAUGCCAAGCAGACAACUACUACGUUAUUGCCACUGUGCUGUAUAUACAGGAAUAAUAACAACAGUGUGACAAGAGAUGAUUUGAAAGGAUAAUUUGGGAAAAAUGGACAUUAAUGCAAUUCCAACGUGUACAACCCAGUGUAACUACCGACUUAUAGAGUUUCACACAGUUCAUCGCAGCCUACAAACUCGACCACCAUGGACCCAUCUUCCCAGCAUCCACCUGCACUCUCUAGCUCCCAGUCACCAAGCUUUUCAUUGUGUUCACCAUGUUUUGUUUAACUCUGUUUCAGUUUGUGAAGUAUAUGCUCAGUUCUCUGCUGAGCACGUAUCGUUGCUGAGCACGUAUUGUCCUGUUUGUGAAUUGAGCAACCCAUGCCUGUUCUUGUAUAGUGUUUGCUUUUGGAGA